GGGAGCGGGACGGGACGGCAGGCGGGCAGACUCGCCCUCUCGGUGACUGCGCCGUCCGGGCCCGUCCUGCCUGGCCGCAGGUGCCCCUGGAUGAGGCCGCUCUGCGCGCCCCGACCGCCCCACCUGGGAAUAUGGAUUCAACCCCCGGGCUAGGGGUUGAAUCAGAGCUGCAGCUGUGGCCUAUGCAACAGUGAUGGUAACACUGAAUCUGAGCUGCCUCUACAGUCACAGCUUAUGACAACUCCAGAUCCUUAAUCCACUGAGUGAGGCCCGCGGUCGAAUCCUCAUCCUCACAGAGACAACAGCAGGUCGUUUACCUGCUGAGCCACAGUGGGAACUCCAAGAAACAAUUAUUUUUGAAAUGGGCUUAUCUGCUCCAAGAUUGUCUUCACAUUGUAACUUCCAUUUUUAUUUGAAGAGUACUAUACAGGAAUCAUAUCCAGUCUUUCUAUUCUGAGCAAGAUUCCUCAGUCAGAGGUGGUAAUCAAGUAUUCAUAUGCUGUAUUUCAAGCAACUGAAGAGGAUAGAAGCAUAUUUAAAUUUUAUGUAUAAAUACACAUACACUUAAAAUGGAACAUGAACGAUAGAAUGAAAAUGAUUUGGGAACUGAACCUCAAACCUGCAUAUACAGUGAGUAGUCAGAGGAAGAAGGUUAAGAGCUUAGAGGUUGGAUAGAGAAGAAUAUUGAGGGAAACCAGGAUUUGGUAGGAGUUUAGCCCUAGCACAGAUAUUGGGUUCUGCAUGUUAGGUGUGUCUUUAUAUCUGGAAAUCUGCUGAAGUAUAUUCUAAAGCUAUAGGAUAAACUUAAUAAACAUGAAAUAUAAUCUGAUGGGAGAAGUCCAAGUACUUUCAUAAGGUUUAAAAUAUGCAUGUAGCCAAAGGGGAGCUGAUUUAUCUAAUUAUUUAUUUAGUCUUUGACUCUGGUUACUAACAUGAGACAAUAGUCCAUCCUUAUUACCCUUCAGGUGAUCCGUGCUGGGAAUAAUUUUAUUUAACAUUUUAAAAAAUGAUUUAAAGACAGACUGACAUUGGAAUUUGCCAGAGUUGCAGCUGACUCUGUGUACUGUUCCAGGCAGUUAAAA
rnacentral:lncRNA from 1 species